rnacentral:rRNA from 1 species
GUGCAGGAUGACGGUCCUAUGGAUUGUAAACUGCUUUUGUACAGGAAGAAACAGUUCUACGUGUAGAACCUUGACGGUACUGUAAGAAUAAGGAUCGGCUAACUCCGUGCCAGCAGCCGCGGUAAUACGGAGGAUCCAAGCGUUAUCCGGAAUCAUUGGGUUUAAAGGGUUCGUAGGCGGUUUAAUAAGUCAGUGGUGAAAGCCCAUCGCUCAACGGUGGAACGGCCAUUGAUACUGUUAAACUUGAAUUAUUAGGAAGUAACUAGAAUAUGUAGUGUAGCGGUGAAAUGCUUAGAGAUUACAUGGAAUACCAAUUGCGAAGGCAGGUUACUACUAAUUGA